GGAUGGACAUACCUCUGGUGUACCAGUUGUCGUGCCAACGGCAUAGCUGGGUAGCUAUGUGUGGACGGGAUAAGUGCUGAAAGCAUCUAAGCAUGAAGCCCCCCUCAAGAUGAGAUUUCCCAACUUCGGUUAUAAGAUCCCUCAAAGAUGAUGAGGUUAAUAGGUUCGAGGUGGAAGCAUGGUGACAUGUGGAGCUGACGAAUACUAAUCGAUCGAAGACUUAAUCAA
rnacentral:rRNA from 1 species